AGAAAAAGGAAGAUCCUCGUCUGGCAAAAAAGGGGUUCGUUUCUUUUUGAUUCUUGAUCCGAACCCUUCUCUCAAUUUUCUCCAAAUUCCUUUCAAAUUCAACUCAGAUUAAGAAGAAAGUUUUUUUUUUUUGAAGGAUUUGUAAGUUAUUUGGAGAGAAAGUUUGAAUCUUUGAAAGUGUGGGGUUCAGAUUUUUGAAUGGAAGAAAUGGAAAUGGAUAGCGUUGAGUGUGUAUCAUUAAUGGAUGGUGUUGAAGAUGAAGAGAUCCAAUCUUCUAUUGCAUCUCAUCAAUACCCUUUAGGAAAGCCUAAUAACAUUCUUUCUGCCGGAAAUGUCCCUACUAGUGUACAUGAAUUGCUUGAAUGCCCUGUUUGUACAAAUUCUAUGUACCCACCAAUUCACCAGUGUCACAAUGGGCACACACUUUGUUCUACCUGCAAAACAAGGGUGCACAAUAGAUGUCCGACAUGCAGACAAGAGCUUGGUGAUAUAAGGUGUUUAGCGUUAGAGAAGGUUGCGGAGUCACUUGAACUGCCUUGCAAAUAUUUUUCUUUGGGGUGCCCAGAAAUAUUCCCAUAUUACAGCAAACUUAAGCAUGAAACAUUGUGCAAUUUUAGACCUUACAGUUGCCCAUAUGCUGGGUCAGAGUGCUCAGUGACCGGGGACAUCCCUUAUUUGGUUACACAUUUAAGAGAUGACCACAAAGUGGAUAUGCA
rnacentral:misc_RNA from 1 species